rnacentral:rRNA from 1 species
GCAUAUCAAUAAGCGGAAGGAAAAGAAACCAACAGGGAUUGCCUUAGUAGCGGCGAGUGAAGCGGCAAGAGCUCAAAUUUGAAAUCUGGUACCUUCGGUGCCCGAGUUGUAAUUUGAAGAAAGCUAUCUUGGAUUUGGCCUUUGUCUAUGUUCCUUGGAACAGGACGUCACAGAGGGUGAGAAUCCCGUGCGAUGAGGUGUCCAUUUCUAUGUAAGAUGUUUUCGAAGAGUCGAGUUGUUUGGGAAUGCAGCUCUAAGUGGGUGGUAAAUUCCAUCUAAAGCUAAAUAUUGGCGAGAGACCGAUAGCGAACAAGUACAGUGAUGGAAAGAUGAAAAGAACUUUGAAAAGAGAGUGAAAAAGUACGUGAAAUUGUUGAAAGGGAAGGGGUAUUAGAUCAGACUUGGUAUUUAGUUAUCAUUGCUCCUUGUGGGUGGUGCUCUAGCUUUUUACUGGGCCAGCAUCAGUUUUGGUGGCAGGAUAAUGACAUUUGAACGUGGCUCCUCGGAGUGUUAUAGCUUUUGUUGAUACUGCCAACCGGGACUGAGGUCUGCGGCUUUUGCCUAGGAUGCUGGCGUAAUGAUCCAAUACCGCCCGUCUUGAAACAUGGACCAAGGAGUCUAACGUCUAUGCAAGUGUUUGGGUGUAAAACCCGUACGCGUAAUGAAAGUGAACGUAGAUCAGGGCCCGCAAGGGUGCACGAUCGACCGAUCCUGAUGUUUUCAGAUGGAUUUGAGUAAGAGCAUAGCUGUUGGGACCCGAAAGAUGGUGAACUAUGCCUGAAUAGGGUGAAGCCAGAGGAAACUCUGGUGGAGGCUCGUAGCGGUUCUGACGUGCAAAUCGAUCGUCGAAUUUGGGUAUAGGGCGAAAGACUAAU